AGACCUAAAGGAAGCAUCACAGCGUGCAUGUAUUGUUGAAGAGGCAGGAGGAGUGUUCCUCUAGAAUGGCAGCAACAAGCAAGCACAAGGAACCAAGCCCUUGGCAGUGGAAGGAAACCAGCUGAAGCAAGACAAGCAGAAAUGAUCACAGUAGCUACCACUUAUUGAGUCUCAAAAAUCAGAAAUCAACUGGCAGGUGCACAAGCAAGAUAC
rnacentral:lncRNA from 1 species